rnacentral:rRNA from 1 species
UACGUAGGGGGCAAGCGUUGUCCGGAAUCAUUGGGCGUAAAGCGCGUGUAGGCGGCUCGGUAAGUCUGCUGUGAAAGUCCAGGGCUCAACCCUGGGAUGCCGGUGGAUACUGUCGAGCUCGAGUCCGGAAGAGGCGAGUGGAAUUCCUGGUGUAGCGGUGAAAUGCGCAGAUAUCAGGAGGAACACCUAUGGCGAAGGCAGCUCGCUGGGACGUGACUGACGCUGAGACGCGAAAGCGUGGGGAGCAAACAGG